rnacentral:rRNA from 1 species
UCGGCGUGCCUAAUACAUGCAAGUAGAACGCUGAAGAGAGGAGCUUGCUCUUCUUGGAUGAGUUGCGAACGGGUGAGUAACGCGUAGGUAACCUGCCUGGUAGCGGGGGAUAACUAUUGGAAACGAUAGCUAAUACCGCAUAAAAUUGAUUAUUGCAUGAUAAUUAAUUGAAAGAUGCAAUUGCAUCACUACCAGAUGGACCUGCGUUGUAUUAGCUAGUUGGUGAGGUAACGGCUCACCAAGGCGACGAUACAUAGCCGACCUGAGAGGGUGAUCGGCCACACUGGGACUGAGACACGGCCCAGACUCCUACGGGAGGCAGCAGUAGGGAAUCUUCGGCAAUGGGGGGAACCCUGACCGAGCAACGCCGCGUGAGUGAAGAAGGUUUUCGGAUCGUAAAGCUCUGUUGUAAGAGAAGAACGGGUGUGAGAGUGGAAAGUUCACACUGUGACGGUAUCUUACCAGAAAGGGACGGCUAACUACGUGCCAGCAGCCGCGGUAAUACGUAGGUCCCGAGCGUUGUCCGGAUUUAUUGGGCGUAAAGCGAGCGCAGGCGGUUAGAUAAGUCUGAAGUUAAAGGCUGUGGCUUAACCAUAGUAUGCUUUGGAAACUGUUUAACUUGAGUGCAGAAGGGGAGAGUGGAAUUCCAUGUGUAGCGGUGAAAUGCGUAGAUAUAUGGAGGAACACCGGUGGCGAAAGCGGCUCUCUGGUCUGUAACUGACGCUGAGGCUCGAAAGCGUGGGGAGCAAACAGGAUUAGAUACCCUGGUAGUCCACGCCGUAAACGAUGAGUGCUAGGUGUUAGGCCCUUUCCGGGGCUUAGUGCCGCAGCUAACGCAUUAAGCACUCCGCCUGGGGAGUACGACCGCAAGGUUGAAACUCAAAGGAAUUGACGGGGGCCCGCACAAGCGGUGGAGCAUGUGGUUUAAUUCGAAGCAACGCGAAGAACCUUACCAGGUCUUGACAUCCCUCUGACCGCUCUAGAGAUAGAGUUUUCCUUCGGGACAGAGGUGACAGGUGGUGCAUGGUUGUCGUCAGCUCGUGUCGUGAGAUGUUGGGUUAAGUCCCGCAACGAGCACAACCCCUAUUGUUAGUUGCCAUCAUUCAGUUGGGCACUCUAGCGAGACUGCCGGUAAUAAACCGGAGGAAGGUGGGGAUGACGUCAAAUCAUCAUGCCCCUUAUGACCUGGGCUACACACGUGCUACAAUGGCUGGUACAACGAGUCGCAAGCCGGUGACGGCAAGCUAAUCUCUGAAAGCCAGUCUCAGUUCGGAUUGUAGGCUGCAACUCGCCUACAUGAAGUCGGAAUCGCUAGUAAUCGCGGAUCAGCACGCCGCGGUGAAUACGUUCCCGGGCCUUGUACACACCGCCCGUCACACCACGAGAGUUUGUAACACCCGAAGUCGGUGAGGUAACCGCAAGGAGCCAGCCGCCUAAGGUGGGAUAGAUGAUUG